GGCCCACCAAGGCGACGAUUGGUAGCCGGACUGAGAGGUUGAACGGCCACAUUGGGACUGAGACACGGCCCAGACUCCUACGGGAGGCAGCAGUGGGGGAUAUUGCACAAUGGGGGAAACCCUGAUGCAGCGACGCCGCGUGGAGGAAGAAGGUUUUCGGAUUGUAAACUCCUGUCGUUAGGGACGAUAAUGACGGUACCUAACAAGAAAGCACCGGCUAACUACGUGCCAGCAGCCGCGGUAAAACGUAGGGUGCAAGCGUUGUCCGGAAUUACUGGGUGUAAAGGGAGCGCAGGCGGACCGGCAAGUUGGAAGUGAAAACUAUGGGCUCAACCCAUAAAUUGCUUUCAAAACUGCUGGCCUUGAGUAGUGCAGAGGUAGGUGGAAUUCCCGGUGUAGCGGUGGAAUGCGUAGAUAUCGGGAGGAACACCAGUGGCGAAGGCGACCUACUGGGCACCAACUGACGCUGAGGCUCGAAAGCAUGGGUAGCAAACAGGAUUAGAUACCCUGGUAGUCCAUGCCGUAAACGAUGAUUACUAGGUGUUGGAGGAUUGACCCCUUCAGUGCCGCAGUUAACACAAUAAGUAAUCCACCUGGGGAGUACGACCGCAAGGUUGAAACUCAAAGGAAUUGACGGGGGCCCGCACAAGCAGUGGAGUAUGUGGUUUAAUUCGAAGCAACGCGAAGAACCUUACCAGGUCUUGACAUCCGAUGCAUAGUGCAGAGAUGCAUGAAGUCCUUCGGGACAUCGAGACAGGUGGUUCAUGGUUGUCGUCAGCUCGUGUCGUGAGAUGUUGGGUUAAGUCCCGCAACGAGCGCAACCCUUAUUGCCAGUUACUACGCAAGAGGACUCUGGCGAGACUGCCGUUGACAAAACGGAGGAAGGUGGGGAUGACGUCAAAUCAUCAUGCCCUUUAUGAC
rnacentral:rRNA from 1 species